rnacentral:sRNA from 1 species
GAAAAAGGGACACUUCUACGACAGCCGUAGGAGAGAGAAACACAAACCCUAGUGAAUUGCUGUGAAACCGUAGAGCAAGAAGAGCGCACCAACGAAGAGAGGAAGAUCUUCUUAGACUGGGAAGGAUUUAGAAGCCAUUAACAAACCUCUAGAGUCCAGAUUUAUAUUUGUGAUGUUCGGUGAAGUUUUUGGAAGAGUGGUGGAAGUAGCACUGGUAUUUGUCUCUUGAAGCUUUAUGAGAAUAGAGUGGUGGAAGGUGUAUACUUGUCCAGUGAAGUCCAAUAGGGUGGUGGAAAUCAUAUACUUGCCUGUGGAAGCUUUAAGAGAGUGGUGGGAA